GACGAAGGAUGCAAGCGUUAUCCGGAUUCAUUGGGUUUAAAGGGUGCGUAGGUGGGCAGGUAAGUCAGUGGUGAAAUCUCCGGGCUUAACCCGGAAACUGCCAUUGAUACUAUCAGUCUUGAAUACCGUGGAGGUAAGCGGAAUAUGUCAUGUAGCGGUGAAAUGCUUAGAUAUGACAUAGAACACCAAUUGCGAAGGCAGCUUACUAGCCGAAUAUUGACACUGAGGCACGAAAGCGUGGGGAUCAAACAGG
rnacentral:rRNA from 1 species